GAUGAACGCUGGCGGCGUGCCUAAUACAUGCAAGUCGAGCGAACGGACGAGAAGCUUGCUCCUCUGCGGUUAGCGGCGGACGGGUGAGUAACACGUGCAUAACCUACCUAUAAGACUGGGAUAACUUCGGGAAACCGUAGCUAAUACCGGAUAAUAUGUUGAACCGCAUGGUUCAAAAGUGAAAGACGGUUUUGCUGUCACUUAUAGAUGGUUCCGCGCUGGAUUAGCUAGUUGGUAAGGUAACGGCUUACCAAGGCAACGAUGCGUAGCCGACCUGAGAGGGUGAUCGGCCACACUGGAACUGAGACACGGUCCAGACUCCUACGGGAGGCAGCAGUAGGGAAUCUUCCGCAAUGGGCGAAAGCCUGACGGAGCAACGCCGCGUGAGUGAUGAAGGUCUUCGGAUCGUAAAACUCUGUUAUUAGGGAAGAACAUAUGUGUAAGUAACUGUGCACGUCUUGACGGUACCUAAUCAGAAAGCCACGGCUAACUACGUG
rnacentral:rRNA from 1 species